rnacentral:sRNA from 1 species
GCUGAGCCUAGUGAGGCACACCUUUAACCCCAAUCACCAGGUAGAUCUCUAGAGCUUGGGAGUUCUAAGAUACAAUGAACUAAGCUGAUUGGGUGUCUACACUAAUUUUGGCAUUAAUAUGGUCAACUGAUCUGAUAGGUGGUUUGGUUACCAGAUUAUGCAAGGAGGAGUAAACCAGCCUAGGUAGGAAACAGAGAAGCUCCAAGUCCCUGUGCUGAUCAGUAGUGGGAGUAACCCUUGCGCAUCUAGCCUGGGUGAGAUAGGACAU